rnacentral:rRNA from 1 species
GGGGGGUACGAGAGGGCCGCUACCACGCGAGUGGAUGCCAAUCCCCAAAACCUCUCUCAGUUCGGACUGGAGUCUGCAACCCGACUCCACGAAGCUGGAUUCGCUAGUAAUCGCGCAUCAGCCACGGCGCGGUGAAUACGUUCCCGGGCCUUGUACACACCGCCCGUCAAGCCAUGGGAGCCGGGGGUACCUGAAGUGCGUAACCGCGAGGAGCGCCCUAGGGUAAAACUGGUGACUGGGGCUAAGUCGUAACAAGGUAAC